UAGCUGGGACCACAGGCGCCCACCACCACGCCCGGCUAAUUUUUUUUUAAUAUUACAAACAACUUUAUUUCAUUUAGAUGAAAUGGACAAAUUUAUUUUAAAACACAAUUCGCCAAAAUUGACAGAAGUGGAAGUAGAAAAUCUAUUUCUGUAUUUAUUAAAGAUACUGAAUCUAUAAUUAAAAAUAUCUUCACACAGAAAAUUACAGUUUCAAAUGGCUUCGAUUCUUUCAAACACUCAAGGAGGAAAUAAUAACAACAUUACACAAACUCUUGUAGAAAAUAGAAAAAGAGGAAACACUUUCUAAUCCAUUAAUGACACUAGCAUAACCUUGAUAUCAAAACCUGAAAAAGUUAAUACAAGCAAGAAAAAUUACAGACCAUGCUAUCUUGUGAAAACGUUUUUAAAAAUCCUUUAAAAAACAGUGCUAAAAUAUAAUAAGUAGAAAGGAUGAUACUACAUCAUGACUAAGUGGUUUUUUUCCCUACUAAUGCAAGUUUGUAUUAACAUUUGAAAAUCAGUGUGUUGGAGUAAAUUAAAAUGGGGACUGGGCCUGAAGAAUCCCUGAGCAGACCUCAAAGAGCUCUCUUGCCAUGUUUUUGCCAGCUGAGUAUAAAAUGCGAAGAUGACUCUGCAAUGUGGAAAAGUGCUCUUAGCAGAAUCUGAAGAUGCUGACACCCAAUCUCAGACUUUCUCACCUUCAGAACUGUGAGAAAUAAAUUUCUGCUGUUUGGAAGCCACUCAGUCUAUGGCACUUUGUUAUAGCAGUCCAAAUGGACCAAGACAGUCCACCAAAAUUCAUGUUUAGGAAUGUUCAUAACAACUAUAUUCAUAGUAGCCCUAAAAUGAAAGCAACCCAAAAGACCAUCAAUAUUAGAAUUAGUAAUUCUAGUGCAAUGCCAUACUACACAGCAAUGAAAGAAUAACUAUUGACAGGAAUAAACCUUACAAACAUAAUUUUGACUGAGAAGUUGGAUAUAAAAAUAUACCACAUGGGCCGGGUGUGGUGGCUCAUGCCUGUAAUCCCAGCACUUUGGGAGGCCAAGGUGGGUGGAUCACCUGAAGUCAGGAGUUCAAGACCAGCCAGGCUUACAUGGUUAAACCCCGUUUCUACUAAAAAUACAAAAAGUUUGCCAGGUGUGGUGGUG
rnacentral:lncRNA from 10 species